AACGCACCUUGCACCCUCUCAUGGGAGGGUAUACGUGUUUGAGAAUCGUAACAGUAUCUUGUCUCUAGUCCUCAGAGGCAGACUUGAGCGCCCAGAGCGCUUUAAAUGCAGUAGUGUAUCUCUGCGCGACUCGCGCUUGGUGGACACUGUGUGCUGGAGACCUUGGUGUCUACUCACGGUGCGUCCCCUUGCGUAUGCGCAGAAGCAAGUGCACUCGUAAACGUGUGUGCGCAUAAUAAUAAAAGCGUGUACACAGCAACUGAUCUCAAAUCACGUAAGACUACCCGCCGAACUUAA
rnacentral:misc_RNA from 1 species